ACUAUCCGGCAUUAAAAAAAAGUUAACUACAUAUGGAAAGAAUAUGUAUUCUUACCAAUGUUAAUUCAUAUGGAAAGAAAUCUUGUUUUUGUUUUGACUAUAUCUUAUAAGUAAUUAAUGUACAUAUUACAUUCUUUCUGAAUUUAUCUUUGACCAUGAUAACUAUUUUGAACGUUUGUAUUAGUAUAUAUAUGUAAUCAGUCUAAGUAAUCUACUCAACAAAACGAUUGAGAACAUCAUAAAAAUGGCUAUAACCGUAAAAACUUUAGUCUCAUUUGUUUUAACUAUCUUUUUAUUCAUAUCUUUUAUUGACUGUCGUACAUUAACCGCUGAAACUCUUUCAACUACUUUAAAUUCUCCGGGAUAUGGAAUAGGAGGCGAGUCUUGCUUUGGAGGAUUUUGGCCGUGUAAGGAAGACAUUCUCUUUGGUUGCGUUAGAUAUUGCAAUAAAUAUAAAUACAAAUUUGGCCGAUGUACUGACAUCGAAGGAUGUUGUUGUUAUUGAAAAAAGCGUUUACCAUGAAAUAAUAUAACAAAAUGUGUAGUUCGAAAUA